AUUGAACGCUGGCGCCAUGCUUUACACAUGCAAGUCGAACGGUAACAGGCCGCAAGGUGCUGACGAGUGGCGAACGGGUGAGUAAUGCAUCGGAACGUGCCCAGUCGUGGGGGAUAACGCAGCGAAAGCUGCGCUAAUACCGCAUACGAUCUAUGGAUGAAAGCGGGGGACCGUAAGGCCUCGCGCGAUUGGAGCGGCCGAUGUCAGAUUAGGUAGUUGGUGGGGUAAAGGCUCACCAAGCCAACGAUCUGUAGCUGGUCUGAGAGGACGACCAGCCACACUGGGACUGCGACACGGACGAGACUCCUACGGGAGGCGGCAGUGGGGAAGUUUGGACAAUGGGUGCAAGCCUGAUCCAGCAAUGCCGCGUGCAGGAAGAAGGCCUCCGGGUUGUAAACUGCUUUUGUACGGAACGAAACGGCUCUCACUAAUACUGGGGGCUAAUGACGGUACCGUAAGAAUAAGCACCGGCUAACUACGUGCCAGCCGCCGCCGUAACAC
rnacentral:rRNA from 1 species